UCAGGACGAACGCUGGCGGUGUGCUUCACACAUGCAAGUCGAACGAGGUAGCAAUACCUAGUGGCGGACGGGUGAGUAACGCGUGGGAAUCUGCCUUGAGAUGGGGGAUAACGAGCCGAAAGGCUCGCUAAUACCGCAUAUGCCGAAAGGUGAAAGGAGUAAUCCGUCUUAAGAUGAGCCCGCGUCCGAUUAGCUAGUUGGUGGGGUAAAGGCCUACCAAGGCGACGAUCGGUAGCUGGUCUGAGAGGAUGAUCAGCCACAAUGGGACUGAGACACGGCCCAUACUCCUACGGGAGGCAGCAGUGGGGAAUUUUACGCAAUGGGGGAAACCCUGACGUAGCGACACCGCGUGAGCGAAGAAGCCCUUUGGGGUGUAAAGCUCUGUCAGCUGGAACGAAAAAAAUGACGGUACCAGCAGAGGAAGCAUCGGCUAACUACGUG
rnacentral:rRNA from 1 species